rnacentral:rRNA from 1 species
UACGUAGGGGGCAAGCGUUGUCCGGAUUUAUUGGGCGUAAAGAGCGUGUAGGCGGUUUUACAGGUCCGCUGUGAAAACUCGAGGCUCAACCUCGAGCUGUCGGUGGAAACCGUAAGGCUAGAGUCCGGAAGAGGAGAGUGGAAUUCCACGUGUAGCAGUGAAAUGCGUAGAGAUGUGGAGGAACACCGAUGGCGAAGGCAGCCCCCUGGGUUAACACUGACGCUCAGGCACGAAAGCGUGGGGAGCAAACAGG